GUUGGACCCAGUGCUGCUGUGGGCAACACCACUGGCGUCACUGUCAGAGGAAAUAAUGCAGGAAGCAUUGGAUCAGGCAACACAUUUGAUAUAAAAGGAGGAGUGGGAGCUGGUCAGUGGGUUGGCAACACCUCCAACGUUAGCGCUGGUUCUAACUCCGGAUCCAUCGGUUCAGGGAAUCGCUUCAACAUGUAAUGAGGUAAGAAAUGGAAGAGAUUUACUGUCAGAUGAACUCGGCCUCCAACUCUUCUAAAAACAAUGCACCAUUUGUUGAAUGUAGAAUUCAUGAUUUCUAAUCAACAGAAAGAGUCAGUGAUCUGAUGAAUGUAAAGGAAAUAUGAGUGCAAAUAAAGUAGAGUAGCUGCUCUAUGAGACUGUC